rnacentral:rRNA from 1 species
GAUGAACGCUAGCUACAGGCUUAACACAUGCAAGUCGAGGGGAAACGACAUCGAAAGCUUGCUUUUGAUGGGCGUCGACCGGCGCACGGGUGAGUAACGCGUAUCCAACCUGCCCAUCACUUGGGAAUAACCUUGCGAAAGUAAGACUAAUACCCAAUGAUAUCCCACGAAGGCAUCGGAAUGGGAUUAAAGAUUUAUCGGUGAUGGAUGGGGAUGCGUCUGAUUAGCUUGUUGGCGGGGUAACGGCCCACCAAGGCAACGAUCAGUAGGGGUUCCGAGAGGAAGGUCCCCCACAUUGGAACUGAGACACGGUCCAAACUCCUACGGGAGGCAGCAGUGAGGAAUAUUGGUCAAUGGGCGAGAGCCUGAACCAGCCAAGUAGCGUGCAGGAAGACGGCCCUAUGGGUUGUAAACUGCUUUUAUAAGGGAAUAAAGUGGGUCACGUGUGACUUUUUGCAUGUACCUUAUGAAUAAGGACCGGCUAAUUCCGUG